UACAGAGGUCUCAAGCGUUGCUCGGAUUCAUUGGGCGUAAAGGGUGCGUAGGUGGCGUCGUAAGUCGGGUGUGAAAUUUCGGAGCUUAACUCCGAAACUGCAUUCGAUACUGCGGUGCUUGAGGACUGGAGAGGAGACUGGAAUUUACGGUGUAGCAGUGAAAUGCGUAGAGAUCGUAAGGAAGACCAGUGGCGAAGGCGGGUCUCUGGACAGUUCCUGACACUGAGGCACGAAGGCCAGGGGAGCAAACGGG
rnacentral:rRNA from 1 species